rnacentral:rRNA from 1 species
UACGAAGGGGGCUAGCGUUGCUCGGAAUCACUGGGCGUAAAGCGCACGUAGGCGGCUUGUUAAGUCAGGGGUGAAAUCCUGGAGCUCAACUCCAGAACUGCCUUUGAUACUGGCGAGCUUGAGUCCGGGAGAGGUGAGUGGAACUGCGAGUGUAGAGGUGAAAUUCGUAGAUAUUCGCGAGAACACCAGUGGCGAAGGCGGCUCACUGGCCCGGUACUGACGCUGAGGUGCGAAAGCGUGGGGAGCAAACAGG